rnacentral:lncRNA from 1 species
GGCUGAACAAACAUUGGUUUCGUACUAACAACCCUUCCAAAAAAGUUGCACUUGAAGAGGUAAGAUAAGGUAAAAAUACGCUCUAAAAUAAAAAAAAAACAAUUCUUGCUUACAAAAUUUCGUACUGUUUGUUGACAGAAGCGAGAAUAUUAAAAUUUAGUUUUCUCAGAAGUGCGUGCGUUGCGGCAAGUGCCAUCAGCAUAGUCAUCGCGAUCGGACCGCGCUUUUUUGUGGACGCAUCAGACGCAUCAUGCCACAGGUCACCGGCGUAUUUUAUAUCCGGCGUCUUUGAAAUAUUCAUGUUGGCACAGUCCGUGGAUUCAGCCACAUUCGAGCUUUCGCACAUUUCGUUCUUUACCCUAACUAGUGUUGGCUCGCGACUGCAGCCAACUGCAGUGGACACGGUGACGGGCGCAGCAAGCAUGACGUGUGGGAGCUACUGUACGCGCAUGUCUCAUUGCUGACGCAACGCGGAACAAAGAAAGAACCCUAAGCAACGAGAAUAUAUCCGCGACCUUGUCUCCUGAAGCUGAAGCAGAACGGGCAACAGUUUGACAACGAAUAUCCUUGGUAGCAGGAAUUGUAUAGCUGUACUAUGAAGCCCCCUCUGUAUGAGAUGUUUUCACCGAACAACUGUUGUGUAAUAAAGGCUCUUCGUGUUGAACACCACCUAGUUUCAAUUGGGCGACCAUUUACUAUUAACUGGAUUGCCUGUUGAACACCAGUUCACUUUAACUGGUUACCCAUUUGGACACCGGUUAGCUUCAAUUGGAUUACCACAUCUAUUCAAUUGGUUAACCAAUU